UUAUUUACACGUAGGUUGUAUUUAGACGCUAGCUCAUUUGCAUAUUAGUAGAGUAAAUAACCUUUAAAUUUUAUCGGACUGCUUGUAAAUCUUAAUAGGCCUUUGUAUAAUAUAUUUUAGGAAUAGAAAUUUUAUUUUUAUUAUCCAUUAGUAGAAUUAUUUUUAUAAGGUUUGACUUUAUUUUCGUUGAACCGUAGAAAAGUGAAUGUCUAUAUAAUGUUAUAUCAAUAUUAAAUUGUUUUAUUGAUGAUAGAAACGUUAGGGAUGUUGGAUGGAAUAUAUUUUUUUUUCUAUCACGGAAUAAAUUCACUGGCCUAUUUCAGUGUAUUUUUUCUUGUGCUUUCUUUCCACUUUUCUCUCUUCCAAGAGAGAUGUCGGCUCCAAGUAACAAAAGAGCGAUACAGCGUCUAGCAAAGGAUCUGGAUGAAAUAGAAAAAUAUCCGGUUGCUAACGUUUCAGCUGCCCCUUUAGACGAAAAUAUGUUUGAAUGGCACUGUAAUUUCCUUCACGAAGACGUCAUCUAUCAUUUAAUUCUUUUCUUUCCUACACAAUAUCCAUUUGUUUCCCCAUCAGCUGAGUUCGUUCCACCAGGUUUUCGAUUUCUUCGAGGAGCUACAGACGUUGGGAAAAAAGGAACGAAAAUUUGUCUCUCAAUAUUUUCAGAUUUCGCAAAAUAUCAUACCGAAUGGGCGAAUGAAAAAUCAAUGGGAUGGUCCCCUGGUUAUACAGUGCAAACUGUCUUAUUGAAUUUGGUCGCGUUUCUUGCAGAACAUCAAUCUGGCUCUUCGGUCGAUCAUUAUAAUAAAGAAAAUGCAAAAUUGGCUGAAAAGUUUGCAUGUGCCGAUUGUGGUCAUACUUACGCUAAACCCUUCCCACCGCUAUCAACCACGGAUGGUCCACCCGCUCUAGAUGAUGGUCCAAUAGUUGUUGAUUACGUGUCCAAAACAAGAAUGAAUUUCAAAUCUUCCCCAAAAUCUAGGGAUGAUCUCUUUGGUUACGGUCUAAUGCAGAGUGGUCCUAAAACCAGACCAUCGCUAACUUCGCCAUGUGAAUUUAUAUCAGGUGAAUCUUUCUUCUCUAUGAAAAAAUCACUUGGUACGGUUAAGUCUGUUCUGAAGGAAGAUUUAUCCUAUUUUCUACCGCUAUAUAUUAAUAAAUCUCACGGAGACAACAUUCAGAAGACGUUUGAAGAAACCAUGAUGGAAUUGGCGGUUCUACUACCGAAAUGUAAUCCAAAGAAGACGUCUGUCAGCGAAAUGGUUUUAAAAACCAUACCCAACUUAAUGAGCGCAACCGUUGUUGAUUUUUCUAAGGGGCAUCAACAUACUAGCGAUAAUCAUUUAAAUGGCUAUUUUUCUCUCCACCGCCUUUUGCUAUGGGCUAUCGAGACUUAUCCCGAUUUGCAGAAGAUAAUUGACGAUAGACUACAAAAUUUUAUAGAUAAUCCCGAUCAGCGAUCUAAGAAAGCUUGUCCUCAUAUUGGCGAAUGGCUUUUACUUUUAGCCGGCUCCUCCAAAUACACUUGGCCCGAUGCAGCCAAAGCCUAUUUGGGAGAGAGUUGGAAAAGGAAUGUCAUGUGGUACGUCAAAGACGACGCAAAGCUUGGUAUGUUGGACACAGAUAAAGAGUAUAGGUUAUCCAAAACCCUAGCUGCUACAGCAGUUAGUAGAAAGCUAUUGGCUUUUCAGGUUCUUUUUCUCGAUAUCGCCAUGGACAAAUCGUUAACUAGACAUCAGCUAAUUCAGCGCUAUAAUGAAAAUAACGGCUUUCCUACUGCUCAAAUGGUUGCAGAGAUGAAAGCCGCCUGUCAAAGAAUCAAGGAUAUGAAAACUUAUGAGGAUUGGUAUGAUAUUCUAAAACUGGAAGCACCUUCAAAAGAUCACAUCUUUAAUGAAUUGAAGGAAUGCGUCGAAUAUGCUAUCAACACAAAUGGCUAUCACUGGACGUUCUGGGCAACAGGAGGAGGAUGGGGAGAAGUUUUGAAAAGAUACAAACUUUAUAAACCAAAAGAGGAUGAUAAAGGGCAAAAAGCCAAAAAAGCUAAAGCCCCAGCUGCUAAGAAGGCGAAUGUCGUACAUGACGAACCAAGCGACAGCAGUAUGAGUGACCACGAUGAAAAACCAGCUAAACGUCGUCCUCCAAAAGCACCAGUUGCUAAAGCGAAACGGAUAAUUAAAGAUGAUGAUGAUGAUGACGAUGAAGAAGAAGUUGUUAAAAAGCCAGUAGUUGGAAGAGGAAAAAAACCGGCAAAACAACCUGCAGCAAAGAGGGGAGCAUCCCAAAGAGGACGUGGACGUGGACGCGGACGCGGUAAAGCGAAAAUAGAAGAAUCGGAAAAAGAGUCAUCAUUAGAAGAAAGCUCAUUGUCGGAAGAAGAAGAGCAACCUGUUAGAAAGGCUCCAGUUAAAAGGGGUAGAAGAGGGAAAGCCCCAGCCCCCGAAGUAAAACCUAAAAAAGCAAAAAUAGUAGAGGAAAAACCAGCUCCAAAAGCACCCGUCAGAGGUAGAGGUCGUGGAAGAGGAAGAGGAAGAGGCAAAUAACUCUAAAUAGGAAAAGAUUCAUGGCGAACAGAGAUAAAUCAAGAAAAAAUCAUUCAACUAUUUUCAAAAGUGUUGUAAUUGAUAUUCUAGCUGUUAAUUUGUGCACAUAACAUUUAGUACUCAAGUCGUUUUACUGCUGUUUCUUUUGUUGUUAUUUGAAAAUAGUUUUAAAUUUAUUCUCAAAUGAAAAUAAAUACGCAAUUAUUUAGGAAAAUCAAGAAUAAAUAACACGAUAUAAGUCUUAAACAUUAGUCAUAUUGAGAUAGGGAGAAAGAAAGAGAGAGAGAGAGAGAGAGAGAAAGAGAGGGAGA
rnacentral:misc_RNA from 1 species